rnacentral:tRNA from 1 species
AAUUAGAAACGAAAAAUCGUUCUCAGUUUCGACCUGAAUUUUAGUAUAAAUUACUCUAAUUA